AAUAGAAGAAUAACAAAUCAGAUAUUUUCUUCCUAAUUUUUAGCUUUUUCCUCCUAACAAAAUUCAAACUCAACUAAAAAUACUAAAAAUCAGGAGAAAAGAUCUAAUUUGUCAUUUUCUUAUU
rfam:Gossypium raimondii Chr09_contig_148, whole genome shotgun sequence.